UACGGGGGGGGCAAGCGUUGUUCGGAAUUACUGGGCGUAAAGGGCUCGUAGGCGGCCAACUAAGUCAUACGUGAAAUCCCUCGGCUUAACCGGGGAACUGCGUCUGAUACUGGAUGGCUUGAGUUCGGGAGAGGGAUGCGGAAUUCCAGGUGUAGCGGUGAAAUGCGUAGAUAUCGAGAGGAACACCAGUGGCGAAGGCGAGUCUCUGGACGACUCCUGACACUGAGGCACGAAAGCUGGGGGAGCAAACAGG
rnacentral:rRNA from 1 species